GAUAAACGCUGGCGGCGUGCAUGAGACAUGCAAGUCGAACGGAUGAUCAGGGCUUGCUCUGAUCGUUAGUGGCGGACGGCUGAGUAACGCGUAGGUGACCUGCCCCGAAGUGGGGAAUAACUGCCCGAAAGGGUGGCUAAUACCGCAUGUGGUGGUGCCUUCACUGGCAUCAGUAAAGCCGCAAGGCGCUUCGGGAGGGGCCUGCGUCCGAUUAGCUCGUUGGUGGGGUAACGGCUCACCAAGGCGACGAUCGGUAGGUGGUCUGAGAGGACGAUCACCCAGACUGGGACUGAGACACGGCCCAGACUCCUACGGGAGGCAGCAGUCGGGAAUUUUGCGCAAUGGACGAAAGUCUGACGCAGCAACGCCGCGUGAGGGAUGACGGCC
rnacentral:rRNA from 1 species